CCUACGGGUGGCUGCAGUGAGGAAUAUUGGUCAAUGGGCGUAAGCCUGAACCAGCCAAGUCGCGUGAGGGAUGAAGGUUCUAUGGAUCGUAAACCUCUUUUAUAAGGGAAUAAAGUGUGGGACGUGUCCUAUUUUGUAUGUACCUUAUGAAUAAGGAUCGGCUAACUCCGUGCCAGCAUCCGCGGUAAUACGGAGGAUCUGAGCGUUAUCCGGAUUUAUUGGGUUUAAAGGGUGCGUAGGCGGCAUUUUAAGUCAGCGGUGAAAGUCUGUGGCUGAACCAUAGAAUUGCCGUUGAAACUGGGGGGCUGGAGUAUGUUGGAGGCAGGCGGAAUGCGUGGUGUAGCGGUGAAAUGCUUAGAUAUCACGCAGAACCCCGAUGGCGAAGGCAGCCUGCCAAGCCAUGACUGACGCUGAUGCACGAAAGCGUGGGGAUCAAACAGGAUUAGAUACCCCGGUAGUC
rnacentral:rRNA from 1 species